rnacentral:rRNA from 1 species
GAUGAACGCUGGCGGCGUGCCUAAUACAUGCAAGUCGAGCGAACGGACGAGAAGCUUCCUUCUCUGCUGUUGCCGCCGGCCGGGUGAGUAACACGUGGAUAACCUACCUAUAAGACUGGGAUAACUUCGGAAAACCGGAGCUAAUACCGGUUAAUAUUUUGUACCGCAUGGUUCAAAAGUGAAAGACGGUCUUGCUGUCACUUAUAGAUGGAUCCGCGCUGCAUUAGCUAGUUGGUAAGGUAACGGCUUACCAAGGCAACGAUGCAUAGCCGACCUGAGAGGGUGAUCGGCCACACUGGAACUGAGACACGGUCCAGACUCCUACGGGAGGCAGCAGUAGGGAAUCUUCCGCAAUGGGCGAAAGCCUGACGGAGCAACGCCGCGUGAGUGAUGAAGGUCUUCGGAUCGUAAAACUCUGUUAUUAGGGAAGAACAAAUGUGUAAGUAACUGUGCACAUCUUGACGGUACCUAAUCAGAAAGCCACGGCUAACUACGUG